UACGUAGGUCACAAGCGUUGUCCGGAUUUAUUGGGCGUAAAGGGAGCGCAGGCGGUUUGUUAAGUCUGAUGUGAAAGCCCACGGCUCAACCGUGGAACGGCAUUGGAAACUGGCAAACUUGAGUAUAGAAGAGGAAAGUGGAAUUCCAUGUGUAGCGGUGAAAUGCGUAGAUAUAUGGAGGAACACCAGUGGCGAAGGCGACUUUCUGGUCUAUAACUGACGCUGAGGCUCGAAAGCGUGGGGAGCGAACAGG
rnacentral:rRNA from 1 species